ACACAAGCCAUGCAUGCCCGCGCACCCGGGAGGCGGCGGACGGCUCAGGACAACGGUUGCACCCCCCGCGGCGGUCCCUGCUAGCCGGACACCGCUGGCAACCCGGCGCCAAGACGUGCGCGCAAGGGCGGGCGCCCGCGGGCGAGCAGCGUGACGCAGCGACGGCCCGCCCGGGCUUCCGGGGCAUCACCCGGUCGGCGCGGUCGCGGCGCGCCGAGGGCCCGAC
rnacentral:rRNA from 1 species